UAAAAUUGUAGAGUCUUUUCCUUUUUCCAUAAUAUGUUUAUAAUAUAAGUAUACGUAUAACAACUUCCACCGAUUGUACUUAGUGCAGUUGGUUAAGAAUUUAAUGGUUGGUAUCCGAGAUUUUAAGUUCAAAAUCUAAUUGCUUUAUAUUUCUAGCUGAGUUUAUUUCUCAGAAAUGAACGAAAACAUGUAGCAUGUUCUCUCUCUCUCUCUCU
rnacentral:lncRNA from 1 species